rnacentral:tRNA from 2 species
GGCCUGUUGGUGAAAUGGUUAACACAUUGCCCUCUCAAGGCAACAUUCAUGGGUUCGAACCCCAUACAGGUCACCA